rnacentral:rRNA from 1 species
AAGACCUUGCACUUUUGGAGCGGCCGAUGUCUGAUUAGCUAGUUGGUAGGGUAAUGGCCUACCAAAGCUUCGAUCAGUAGCUGGUCUGAGAGGACGGCCAGCCACACUGGGACUGAGACACGGCCCAGACUCCUACGGGAGGCAGCAGUGGGGAAUUUUGGACAAUGGGCGCAAGCCUGAUCCAGCCAUGCCGCGUGAGUGAAGAAGGCCUUCGGGUUGUAAAGCUCUUUCAGCCGGGAAGAAAAGGUUGCGAUUAAUAAUCGCAAUUUAUGACGGUACCGGAAGAAGAAGCACCGGCUAACUACGUGCCAGCAGCCGCGGUAAUACGUAGGGUGCGAGCGUUAAUCGGAAUUACUGGGCGUAAAGGGUGCGCAGGCGGUUUUGUAAGUCAGAUGUGAAAUCCCCGGGCUUAACCUGGGAACU